rnacentral:rRNA from 1 species
UUAGAUACCCUGGUAGUCCAUGCCGUAAACGAUGAGUGCUAGGUGUUGGAGGGUUUCCGCCCUUCAGUGCCGGAGCUAACGCAUUAAGCACUCCGCCUGGGGAGUACGACCGCAAGGUUGAAACUCAAAGGAAUUGACGGGGGCCCGCACAAGCGGUGGAGCAUGUGGUUUAAUUCGAAGCUACGCGAAGAACCUUACCAGGUCUUGACAUCUUGCGCUAACCUUAGAGAUAAGGCGUUCCCUUCGGGGACGCAAUGACAGGUGGUGCAUGGUCGUCGUCAGCUCGUGUCGUGAGAUGUUGGGUUAAGUCCCGCAACGAGCGCAACCCUUGUUACUAGUUGCCAGCAUUAAGUUGGGCACUCUAGUGAGACUGCCGGUGACAAACCGGAGGAAGGUGGGGACGACGUCAGAUCAUCAUGCCCCUUAUGACCUG